UGAAAUUCGCCUGUAUGAAGCCGGAAUUGCUAGUAAUGGCAGGUCAGCAUACUGCCGUGAAUACGUUCCCGGGCCUUGUACACACCGCCCGUCACACCAUGAGAGUUGGGGAUACCCAAAGCCCGUGAGCCAACUUUUAGAGGCAGCGGUCUAAGGUAGAAUCAAUGAUUGGGUGAAGUCGUAACAAGGUAGC
rnacentral:rRNA from 1 species